rnacentral:lncRNA from 7 species
UGACACUUCUGUUUGAGAUCAAAUAAACAUCCUCCAACUUUCUUUGAAGAAGCAAAUGGCAACGUUAGCCUAGCUAGUAGCCCCAAACUAAUAGUUUUUAAGUUGCAAAAAAUAAAAUAAGAAUAUCAUGCCACUUGCAAGCCAAACAAAUCCCUCUUCAAUUUGCCUCAAUGGCUCAUCAAAACAGAGCUACUGCAAGCCCCAGUCACUACUCACUAUGCUUGAGGUAGGGAGCGAGAGAGUAGUCCCAAUUUCAGUGGCUUUUCAGUGGCUCCUCCUCUGCCUCUCAGACGGAUGGAUGCCAUGCGAUGCUCGCGAGAGGCUAUAAAAAAGAAACUAAAGAAUGCAGGUGUGCGGACGGUAC